GGUUGAUCCUGCCAGAAGUCAUAUGCUUGUCUUAAAGAUUAAGCCAUGCAUGUCUAAGUAUAAAUAGUAUACAGUGAAACUGCGAAUGGCUCAUUAAAACAGUUAUAGUUUAUUUGAUAGUGCACAUUACAUGGAUAACCGUGGUAAUUCUAGAGCUAAUACAUGCGCAAAUACCUGACUCACGAAAGGUAGCAUUUAUUAGAUUUAACCAUCAUAUGGUGAAUCAUAGUAACUUGGCGGACCGCGCUCCGGCGUGGUAAAUCAUUCAAGUUUCUGCCCUAUCAGCUUUCGA
rnacentral:rRNA from 1 species